rnacentral:rRNA from 1 species
CGUCUAAGGUCCCGAAGCGUGUGCUAAGUGGGAAAGGAUGUGGAGUCGCAUAGACAGCCAGGAGGUUGGCUCAGAAGCAGCCAUCCUUGAAAGAGUGCGUAACAGCUCACUGGUCUAGUGGUUCCGCGCCGACAAUGUAGCGGGGCUCAAGCACACCACCGAAGACGCGGCAGCAAUCUUCAUGGUUGCUGGGUAGGAGAGCGUCCUGCGAGGGGCGAAGCGGCGGUGGAAACCGGCCGUGGACUUCGUGGGAGUGAGAAUGCAGACAUGAGUAGCGAGAGACGGGUGAGGAUCCCGUCCGCUGGAUGACCAAGGGUUCCGGGGCCACGUUCGUCGUCCCCGGGUGAGUCGGGUCCUAAGGCGAGGCCGACAGGCGUAGUCGAAUGGAUGAACGGGUGGAUAUUCCCGUACCGACCAUGGACCGGCAAAACCGAGACGGUGAGUACUAACCUCCGCCUCGUGGUGGUUCCUUCCUUCGGGUUGGUAUCGCCGCGUGGUGUUGGGACCGUAGCCGUAGUAGGUCAGCGCAGGGGUGACACGGAAUGGGAGCCGGCCGCGGAGGUGGUUUUCCGUGGUCAAGCACGCAGCCAGUCAUGUAGGCAAAUCCGCAUGGCGCGCAUGGCGAGGUGUGAUGAUGGGAGCCUUUUGGGCUCGAUAUCCGGUUGUCCAGGCCGUCGAGAAAAGCCUCGGCGUGAGGGCCAUGGCCGCCCGUACCCCAAACCGACACUGGUGGUCAGGUAGAGAAUACCAAGGCGAUCGAGCGAAUCCUGGUCAAGGAACUCGGCAAAUCACUCCCGUGCCUUCGGUAUAAGGGAGACCCGCUGGGGUGAACCGGCUAGCCCGGGGAGCUUUGGUGGGUGGCACAGACCAGGGGGUAGCGACUGUUUACCAAAAACACAGGUGCAUGCGAAGGCGAAAGCCGCUGUAUAUGCACUGACGCCUGCCCGGUGCCGGAAGGUUAAGAGGAUCCGUCAGUCCUUCGGGAUGAAGCGGUGAAUUCAAGCCCCGGUAAACGGCGGUGGUAACUAUAACCAUCCUAAGGUAGCGAAAUUCCUUGUCGGGUAAGUUCCGACCUGCACGAAUGGCGUAACGACUUCCCCACUGUCUCGACCAGGAGCUCGGCGAAAUUGCAGUACGAGUAAAGAUGCUCGUUAAGCGCAGAAGGACGAAAAGACCCCGGGACCUUUACUAUACCUUGGUAUUGGCGUUAGGCGCGGAUUGUGUAGCAUAGGCGGGAGGCUUCGAAGCGUGGGCGCCAGCUCAUGUGGAGCCGCAAGGUGAAAUACCGCUCUGUUCUCGUUUGACGUCUAACCUCGACAAGUCAUCCUUGUCAGGGACAGUGCCUGGCGGGUAGUUCAACUGGGGCGGUUGCCUCCCAAAGAGUAACGGAGGCGCUCAAAGGUCCGCUCAGCCCGGUUGGCAAUCGGGUGUCGAGUGUAAUCGCACAAGCGGGCUUGACUGCGAGGACGACGGUCCGAGCAGGGACGAAAGUCGGAGAUAGUGAUCCGGUGCCGGCGCACGGGCGCGGCAUCGCUCAACGGAUAAAAGGUACCCCGGGGAUAACAGGCUGAUCAUUCCCAAGAGUCCAUAUCGACGGGAUGGUUUGGCACCUCGAUGUCGGCUCGUCGCAUC